GCUUUUGUAAUUUUGAACAUACCCUAGUAGUUUCUAUUAAUCGAUCGUUCAGACUUCAAUUAUUUGUAGGCUGCAAUAUUUUCACAUUUUUCUCU